rnacentral:rRNA from 1 species
UACGGGGGGGCAAGCGUUGUUCGGAAUUACUGGGCGUAAAGGGCUCGUAGGCGGCCAACUAAGUCAUACGUGAAAUCCCUCGGCUUAACCGGGGAACUGCGUCUGAUACUGGAUGGCUUGAGUUCGGGAGAGGGAUGCGGAAUUCCAGGUGUAGCGGUGAAAUGCGUAGAUAUCUGGAGGAACACCGGUGGCGAAGGCGGCAUCCUGGACCGAUACUGACGCUGAGGAGCGAAAGCGUGGGGAGCGAACAGG